GGGGUUGUGGCUCAGAGGUAGAGUGCUUGCCUAGCACGUAUGUGAUCCUGGGUUCGAUUUUCAGCACUGCA
rnacentral:tRNA from 1 species